UACGUAGGGUGCAGGCGUUAAUCGGAAUUACUGGGCGUAAAGGGUGCGCAGGCGGUUAUAUAAGACAGGUGUGAAAUCCCCGGGCUUAACCUGGGAACUGCAUUUGUGACUGCAUAGCUAGAGUACGGUAGAGGGGGAUGGAAUUCCGCGUGUAGCAGUGAAAUGCGUAGAUAUGCGGAGGAACACCGAUGGCGAAGGCAAUCCCCUGGGCCUGCACUGACGCUCAUGCACGAAAGCGUGGGGAGCAAACAGG
rnacentral:rRNA from 1 species